rnacentral:rRNA from 1 species
UACGGGGGGGGCAAGCGUUGUUCGGAUUUACUGGGCGUAAAGGGCGCGUAGGCGGUCAGCACAAGUCAGUUGUGAAAUCUCCGAGCUUAACUCGGAAAGGUCAACUGAAACUGUGCGACUAGAGUGCGGAAGGGGCAACUGGAAUUCUUGGUGUAGCGGUGAAAUGCGUAGAUAUCAAGAGGAACACCUGCGGCGAAGGCGGGUUGCUGGGCCGACACUGACGCUGAAGCGCGAAAGCCAGGGGAGCGAACGGG